rnacentral:rRNA from 1 species
GACGAACGCUGGCGGCGUGCCUAAUACAUGCAAGUAGGACGCAGUUGCGAACGGGUGAGUAACGCGUAGGUGACUACCUAUUAGAGGGGGGUAAAUAUUGGAAACGAUAGCUAAUACCGCCUACUAGUAGAUGGACCUGCGUUGUAUUAGCUAGUAGGUAGGGUAAUGGCCUACCUAUGCAACGAUACAUAGCCGACCUGGGAGGGUGAGCGGCCACACUUGGACUGGGACACGGCCAGACUCCUACGGGAGGGAGCAGUAGGGAAUCUUCGGAAAAGGGGGGAACCCCUACCGCGCAACGCCGCGUGAGUGAAGAAAGGUUUCGGGUCGUAAAGGUCUGUUGUGAAGGAAGCGGUACUUAACCAGAAAGGGACGGCUAACUACGUGCCAGCAGCCGCGGUAAUAC